GCCAGAGUGAUGGAAUUGGUAUACAUGACGGUCUCAAAAACCGUUGUUCGAAAGAACGUGAGGGUUCGAAUCCCUCCUCUGGCACCA
rnacentral:tRNA from 1 species